ensembl:lincRNA Gm26637 predicted gene, 26637
AGGAGUUGGAGGGUAUUUGGCUGUGGCCCAGAACCACCAAGUCCCUUUUCCUGCAACCGCUAUCCAGGAGUGGGAAAAUAGCCCUCAGGUCUUACCAAAGUUUCUGGAUCCGGACAGUGGCUCGCUCCCUGGAGCAGGAUUCGAAUUGUACUUCAGGUGCAGGCUCUGAAAUCUAUUCGCCCUCCGUUCCCUGCCGCUGCUGCUGCCCAUGGAAGUCCGGGCCUGGCCGGUUCUCCUCUGUUUCGUUUUCCCGGCGGACUCCGCCUUCCCACACUGCUCUGGGCCCCUCCCGCACCGGCUCGCACCCGCGAGAAGUCAGGUAGGCGUGUCGCCUCUGUACCCCAGCGCGGGAGCCAAGGUCCGGGCCCGCCUCCCCUCUCCUGUGCAACUGCAGUAACUGCCAGCUUCUCCAGGUUUCGGACACUUCCUGGCUUCCAUUCUGGGAAAGCUCUGCAGGAAGAAGAAGGAGAAACCCAAGCCUCCUGCUCCUGGAUCAAUGAUCACAAUCUACUUUUCAAAACAAACUUUGAGGAAGCAACUGGGCACAUGGAUGCUACCGAAUUCCGAUGUGCAGUGGGAGAUACUGAGUAACUCGCCUCUCAGAGGGUCCAGCCAAGCUAUGUCUGUGACAAUUGAAGUCCAGGUCUUCAUAUAAUAUGAACUUAACAUUUUCAUCAUCAAUAUGUUUGUUCCAAUUAAUUGCAAAAUCAAAGUAACUUCCCCAAGAAACUAAAAAGCACAGGAGAAAAAAAAAGUAAGACACUGUUCAUAACUGAGGAAAACAGAUAUCACACAUAUGGGUAAAUGAUCAAGAGAGGUUGUGUGUAUUACAAGUCUGUCUCCAGGAGGUGGAAUACACCUGCCUCACUGUCCAUACCCACCCGUGUCUUACUUCCUCGAACAUUUGCCAUUAGUGAUACAACUGAGCAAGCUCUAAGAUUCCUCAGAGAUAACGCGAUAACUCAGAAAGAGGGAACAGGCCUGAGCUUCCUUUCUGUUGUUGUGAUAGAAUAUUCUGACGCAAGCAACUUCAGCAGAGAGUUUGCUUCACUUUGCAAUUCAAGAUCACGUCCACCCUUGUGGGGAAGUCAUCGUGGCAGGAGCUUGGUCGGCCAAUUGUGGUGUCCUUAAUGUUUUCAUUUGCCUCUGCGUGUUGGAUUUCGGAAUUUUGCAAGGAAGAAAUCCUGUCCAAGUUAUGACUGUCACAUCUUGUUGCUAAUCAACUGAGCAGAAAGAAUGAACGCAGAGGAUGGAGAGGAUUCUUCAUGUUGUCCCACAAGUCACAAAAAUCAUCACUGAAUGUUCCCUUGAGGUAUUAUAUAUGUAUGGAGUGGUGUCACAUAUGUAUGGAGUGGUGUCACAUAUGUAUGGAGCAGUGUUACAUAUGUAUGGAGCAGUGUUACAUAUGUAUGGACCAGUGUUACAUAUGUAUGGAGCAGUGUUAUAUAUGUAUGGAAUGGUGUCACAUAUGUAUGGAGCGGUGUCACAUAUGUAUGGAGCGGUGUCACAUAUGUAUGGAGCGGCGUUACAGAUUUGCCCUGCCUGACUCUACAAGUGUUUCUAGACAACAGAAGCAGGCUGACUGGUGCUUCACAGUAAUGCAUCUCCUUGUGAGCUUUCCUUGCUGCUAUGACUCGAUCCAAUAUUUAUCUUUUCCAGGGAGCUGGUACCGUAUGUAGUGUCCAUGUACUCGGAAUGCUGUGGGAUUUGCUAUAUCAAAUACCCUUUAGACUGGCCUUCACAGAUUGUGGUAUAUAGAUAGAACAUGGAAUAUUCAAAUAGUGAUGCUGGCAUCCAUGGCAUGAAUGAAUUGGGAGGCAUCAUGUAGGCAAAUAUAUGGCAGAAAGCAAAAUAUUGGUCUCAUCUACAUGUUGGAUCUUUUUAAAGGUUGAGUAACACAGAAAGCAGGAUGGUGCCAGGGAUGCGAAGGAAGGCAAUUACAACUCUGAUGUAACUUUGGAGCGCUGAGUUGUGAAUAAGUCUAGUAAGCUAAUGUACAGCCUAAGGAUUAGAGUUAUGAAUCCAGUAUUGCAUAAUGAAGUAGUGUUUGCUAAGGGACCAGCAAACAUAUACUACUCUUUCUCUAUACACAACAAAGCAGCUGUGUGACAUGAUGGCUUGACUUCAGUAGUCAUUUCACAUGUGUAUGUGUAGCAAAACACAGUGUCCAUGUUAAACAUCAUUUUAAAAAAUAGAUUGAGAG